rnacentral:rRNA from 1 species
UGGCAGUAAAAGUCGUAACAAGGUCUCCGUUGGUGAACCAGCGGAGGGAUCAUUACCGAGUUUACAACUCCCAAACCCCAAUGUGAACGUUACCAAUCUGUUGCCUCGGCGGGAUUCUCUUGCCCCGGGCGCGUCGCAGCCCCGGAUCCCAUGGCGCCCGCCGGAGGACCAACUCCAAACUCUUUUUUUCUCUCCGUCGCGGCUCCCGUCGCGGCUCUGUUUUAUUUUUGCUCUGAGCCUUUCUCGGCGACCCUAGCGGGCGUCUCGAAAAUGAAUCAAAACUUUCAACAACGGAUCUCUUGGUUCUGGCAUCGAUGAAGAACGCAGCGAAAUGCGAUAAGUAAUGUGAAUUGCAGAAUUCAGUGAAUCAUCGAAUCUUUGAACGCACAUUGCGCCCGCCAGUAUUCUGGCGGGCAUGCCUGUCCGAGCGUCAUUUCAACCCUCGAACCCCUCCGGGGGGUCGGCGUUGGGGAUCGGCCCCUCACCGGGCCGCCCCCGAAAUACAGUGGCGGUCUCGCCGCAGCCUCUCCUGCGCAGUAGUUUGCACACUCGCACCGGGAGCGCGGCGCGGCCACAGCCGUAAAACACCCCAAACUUCUGAAAUGUUGACCUCGGAUCAGGUAGGAAUACCCGCUGAACUUAAGCAUAUC